CACUGUCUCAGAAAGGUCUACAGUAAGAGGUAGUUGAGAACCAAGCCGGCAGUCUCCCAGGAACAGACAACACUCAAAAUGGGUGACAUUUGUUGUAAGAAAGACUAGACAGACUGGUAUUUGCGGACCCAAAAAUGAUGCUGCCUGCCAGCAUGCAGCCACAAAAGCUUGCAAGUAUUCCAGAUGACAUUGCUACUCUAUUUCCUAAAUUGGAAUGUCCUAGGUGUCACAGCAGAGAUUGCACGAUUUCGGGGCUCAGCUCCUGCUUGGUCUUAUUCAGACAACCAAUAAAUUAUUAUCAACUGAUGUUGAUAAACACUCAAAAAAAAUGAAAGCAGCCAUGAGAAGAAGCCCAUCCUUUACCACAUGAACAAGACAUCAAAGGUAUUCAGCCCCCAGCAGCAGAAGGUUAAUGCACCUAUGAACUCCACGCACGUCAUCCUUCUUCCAUAUUUUAAAAUAAAUUGUGCUGAAAUUGCACAGGAGAAGAAUUGGGGGGAAACUAACUGCCAGUGUUGCAGGGUAUCAUCCAUAAGCACACAAUAGUGAUAAAUGUGUUCUGUCAUGUU
rnacentral:lncRNA from 1 species